rnacentral:tRNA from 1 species
GACUAUUUUGGCAGAAAAGUGUGAUGAUUUUAGAAUUCAUAAAUAUAUUUAAAUUUUAUUUUAUAUAAAUAGUA